AUGGAGAAUAGUAAUUUAAAAGAGAAAUUGGACACCAUAAACUUUGCAGUGAUUAAGGGGAAGCCAGUCUGCAUCAUGUGGUCUCAGAGGGACCCCUCUUUGAGAAUGUCUGGUGUGGGAAAUGUCUUCAUCAAGAACCUGGACAGAUCUAUAGACAGCGAGGCACUGUGUGACACUUUCUCUGCCUUUGGAAAUAUCCUGUCCUGUAAGGUGGUUUGUAAUGAGAACGUCUCUAAGGGCUAUGCUUUUGUCCACUUCGAGACCCAAGAGGAUGCCAAUAAGGCCAUCGAGAAGAUGAAUGGCAUGCUCCUCAAUGACCGCAAAGUGUUUGUGGGCAGAUUCAAGUCUCGCAAAGAGCGGGAAGCCGAGCUUGGAGCCAAGGCCAAGGAAUUCUCCAAUGUCUAUAUCAAAAACUUUGGAGAAGAGGUGGAUGAUGGGAACCUGAAAGAGCUCUUCAGCCAGUUUGGUAAGACCCUAAGUGUCAAGGUGAUGAGAGACUCCAGUGGAAAGUCCAUAGGCUUUGGCUUUGUAAGUUAUGAGAAACACGAGGAUGCCAAUAAGGCUGUGGAAGAAAUGAAUUGAAAAGAAAUGGGCGGGAAAGCAUUAUACGUAGGCCGUGCACAGAAAAAAGUAGAACGUUAGGCUGAAUUAAAACAGAAAUUUGAGCAGAUGAACAAGGAGUGGAUUAGUUGGUACCAGGGAGUGAAUCUCUACAUUAAGAACUUGGAUGACUCCAUAGAUGAUGAGAAAUUAAGGAAAGAGUUUUCUCCUUUUGGAUCAAUCACCAGUGCGAAGGUGAUGCUAGAAGAUGGAAGAAGCAGAGGGGUUGGCUUUGUCUGUUUCUCCUCUCCUGAAGAGGAGGCCAAAGCGCUCACCAAGAUGAACAGACGCAUGGUGGGCUCCAAGCCACUGUACGUCGCCCUGGCCCAGAGGAAGGAAGAGCUUGACUAACCAGUAUAGGCAACGUGUAGCUGGGGUGAGAGCACUCCCUGCCAAUACCAUCUUAAGUCAGUUCCAGCCUGCAGCUGGUGACUACUUUGUGUACUUCCACAGGCUCAGGGAAGACCUGCAUACUACAUGCCUAACCAGUUAGCACAAAUGAGGCCCAAUCCACACUGGCAGCAAGGUGGGAGACCCCAAGGCUUCCAAGGAAUGCCAAGUGCCCUGGGGCAGUCUGGACCACUUCCAGCUCUUUGACAUCUGGCUCCAACUGGAUCUGAGUGCCCAGACCGCUUGGCUAUGGACUUUGGUGGGACUGGUGCCGCCCAACAAGGGCUGAUUGACAGCUGCCAGUCUGGAGGCGUCCUUACAGCUGUGCCAAACAUUGAGCCUCAUGCUGCAGUUGCUGCUGCUGCUGCUCCCAAUGUUCGCAGCUAGCAUCCUGCCAUCCAGCCCCUGCAGGCCCCCAGCCUGCAGUCCAUGUCCAGGGUCAGGAGCCUCUGACUGCUUCCAUACUGGCUGCAGUGCCUCCCCGGGAGCAGACGCAGAUGCUGGGGGAGCGUCUGUUCCCACUUAUCCAAACAAUGCUUUCAUACCUGGCUGGAAAAAUUUCGGGGAUGCUGCUGGAAAUCGACAACUCUGAGCUGCUGCACAUACUGGAGUUCCCCGAGUCCCUCUGUUCUAAGGUGAAUGAAGCUGUGGCAGUCCUGCAGGCUCAUCAUGCCAAGAAAGAAGCUACCCAGACGGUGGGUACUAUUGCUGCUGCUACCUCUUAG